rnacentral:rRNA from 1 species
CAGUCGCCGCGGGAAUACGGAGGGUGCAAGCGUUAAUCGGAAUUACUGGGCGUAAAGCGCACGCAGGCGGUCUGACAAGUCAGAUGUGAAAUCCCCGGGCUUAACCUGGGAACUGCAUUUGAAACUGGCAAGCUAGAGUCUCGUAGAGGGGGGUAGAAUUCCAGGUGUAGCGGUGAAAUGCGUAGAGAUCUGGAGGAAUACCGGUGGCGAAGGCGGCCCCCUGGACGAAGACUGACGCUCAGGUGCGAAAGCGUGGGGAGCAAACAGGAUUAGAUACCCCGGUAGUCCCUGUCUCUUAUAC